rnacentral:tRNA from 1 species
GCCCUUAUAGCUCAGUUGGUAGAGCAGUUGCCUCUUAAGCAAACGGUCCCAGGUUCGAGUCCUGGUGGGGGCACCA